rnacentral:rRNA from 1 species
GAUGAACGCUGGCGGCGUGCCUAAUACAUGCAAGUCGAGCGAACGGACGAGAAGCUUGCUUCUCUGAUGUUAGCGGCGGACGGGUGAGUAACACGUGGAUAACCUACCUAUAAGACUGGGAUAACUUCGGGAAACCGGAGCUAAUACCGGAUAAUAUUUUGAACCGCAUGGUUCAAAAGUGAAAGACGGUCUUGCUGUCACUUAUAGAUGGAUCCGCGCUGCAUUAGCUAGUUGGUAAGGUAACGGCUUACCAAGGCAACGAUGCAUAGCCGACCUGAGAGGGUGAUCGGCCACACUGGAACUGAGACACGGUCCAGACUCCUACGGGAGGCAGCAGUAGGGAAUCUUCCGCAAUGGGCGAAAGCCUGACGGAGCAACGCCGCGUGAGUGAUGAAGGUCUUCGGAUCGUAAAACUCUGUUAUUAGGGAAGAACAUAUGUGUAAGUAACUGUGCACAUCUUGACGGUACCUAAUCAGAAAGCAACGGAUAACUACGUG